rnacentral:rRNA from 1 species
AAUGGGGGAAACCCUGAUGCAGCGACGCCGCGUGAGCGAUGAAGUAUUUCGGUAUGUAAAGCUCUAUCAGCAGGGAAGAAAAUGACGGUACCUGACUAAGAAGCCCCGGCUAACUACGUGCCAGCAGCCGCGGUAAUACGUAGGGGGCAAGCGUUAUCCGGAUUUACUGGGUGUAAAGGGAGCGUAGACGGCAUGGCAAGCCAGAUGUGAAAGCCCGGGGCUCAACCCCGGGACUGCAUUUGGAACUGUCAGGCUAGAGUGUCGGAGAGGAAAGCGGAAUUCCUAGUGUAGCGGUGAAAUGCGUAGAUAUUAGGAGGAACACCAGUGGCGAAGGCGGCUUUCUGGACGAUGACUGACGUUGAGGCUCGAAAGCGUGGGGAGCAAA